GCUAUACACAGAAAUUUUGUUUUUCCGCUACCGAUGAACACCGAUAUGAUGAAACUGUUAGUUCACUUUAUGCAGAUGCCAAAUUCAGGGUCACUGGUUCGUUGGCAAAUUCCUGCGAGUUCGCCAAUGCAUUCAAGUGCAGAAUCAACAGCCCAAUGAAUCCAAUCAACAAAUGCUAUCUGUGGAGUAAAGAAGGACCAUUGGACUAAGAGCAUGGUCAUGUUAAAAAUAACAAAUGCUAACUGCUAUAACAACCAACGUGCUAACUGUGUUAAGGUUACAUUGUAAUUUGCCAUUUCAGUCAGUACCUGCAUGUUAAAAGGACCUGUCAACGACAAGACUCUUGUCAAAUCCUAGUAUAAGAUCAUCAUUUCAAGUAUUUGACAAACCUCGUAUAAACAAGUCUGUAACCAACAUGUUUACCACGCUUUAGGCUUUAAUUUGCCCUUUCAAUGUUAUUCUGAUAGUUGUAGUGAGUAAAACGAAUAAUACUACCUACUUGAAAAGUAAAAUGGUGAUGUAUUUAUAAUCUUUCCAGUCGUUAUAAGGAAGUGAGGUUUACAAAAAUGUAAUUGAUUUUUCGCCGAGUAGUAAAGUAACAAGUAAAACAAAAAUAUCAUCUUUA